AGAGUUUGAUCCUGGCUCAGAUUGAACGCUGGCGGCAGGCCUAACACAUGCAAGUCGAACGGUAACAGGAAGCAGCUUGCUGCUUUGCUGACGAGUGGCGGACGGGUGAGUAAUGUCUGGGAAACUGCCCGAUGGAGGGGGAUAACUACUGGAAACGGUAGCUAAUACCGCAUAACGUCGCAAGACCAAAGAGGGGGACCUUCGGGCCUCUUGCCAUCGGAUGUGCCCAGAUGGGAUUAGCUAGUUGGUGAGGUAACGGCUCACCAAGGCGACGAUCCCUAGCUGGUCUGAGAGGAUGACCAGCCACACUGGAACUGAGACACGGUCCAGACUCCUACGGGAGGCAGCAGUGGGGAAUAUUGCACAAUGGGCGCAAGCCUGAUGCAGCCAUGCCGCGUGUAUGAAGAAGGCCUUCGGGUUGUAAAGUACUUUCAGCGGGGAGGAAGGUGUUGUGGUUAAUAACCGCAGCAAUUGACGUUACCCGCAGAAGAAGCACCGGCUAACUCCGUGCCAGCAGCCGCGGUAAUACGGAGGGUGCAAGCGUUAAUCGGAAUUACUGGGCGUAAAGCGCACGCAGGCGGUCUGUCAAGUCGGAUGUGAAAUCCCCGGGCUCAACCUGGGAACUGCAUUCGAAACUGGCAGGCUUGAGUCUCGUAGAGGGGGGUAGAAUUCCAGGUGUAGCGGUGAAAUGCGUAGAGAUCUGGAGGAAUACCGGUGGCGAAGGCGGCCCCCUGGACGAAGACUGACGCUCAGGUGCGAAAGCGUGGGGAGCAAACAGGAUUAGAUACCCUGGUAGUCCACGCCGUAAACGAUGUCUAUUUGGAGGUUGUUCCCCUGAGGAGUGGCUUCCGGAGCUAACGCGUUAAAUAGACCGCCUGGGGAGUACGGCCGCAAGGUUAAAACUCAAAUGAAUUGACGGGGGCCCGCACAAGCGGUGGAGCAUGUGGUUUAAUUCGAUGCAACGCGAAGAACCUUACCUGGUCUUGACAUCCACAGAAUUUCUCAGAGAUGAGAAAGUGCCUUCGGGAACUGUGAGACAGGUGCUGCAUGGCUGUCGUCAGCUCGUGUUGUGAAAUGUUGGGUUAAGUCCCGCAACGAGCGCAACCCUUAUCCUUUGUUGCCAGCGGUCCGGCCGGGAACUCAAAGGAGACUGCCAGUGAUAAACUGGAGGAAGGUGGGGAUGACGUCAAGUCAUCAUGGCCCUUACGACCAGGGCUACACACGUGCUACAAUGGCAUAUACAAAGAGAAGCGACCUCGCGAGAGUAAGCGGACCUCAUAAAGUAUGUCGUAGUCCGGAUUGGAGUCUGCAACUCGACUCCAUGAAGUCGGAAUCGCUAGUAAUCGUGGAUCAGAAUGCCACGGUGAAUACGUUCCCGGGCCUUGUACACACCGCCCGUCACACCAUGGGAGUGGGUUGCAAAAGAAGUAGGUAGCUUAACCUUCGGGAGGGCGCUUACCACUUUGUGAUUCAUGACUGGGGUGAAGUCGUAACAAGGUAGCCGU
rnacentral:rRNA from 1 species